AAUUUAUUAUUAAUUGGUGUUGAUGCCCUGAAACUAAUGACGAACUGGCAAGAAAAACAAAAGUUGUAUAUAUUAAAAGAAAAAAUGCAAAAAAAUAGUAAAAACCAUGCAAUAAUACAUAGAAAGAUUUUAUAGUCAAAACUAGCAACGCUAUACUUAUUACACUAAUUAAGAAUGCUUUCAGAGCUUUCCUGUGUGUCGGUUGUCCAAUAUAAAAGCAAAUGGAAAAGAUUCCAAAGAGCAUUCAAUAAAACUUCCAAGCAUGGAAAAUGAUCUUCAAGCCAGCAAAUACAUAUCAACAUGUUAGAUGGAAGUAUCGUACUGAUUUGGAGCAACUUCAAGCAUCUCUAUAUAAAGUGAUCUUGUACUUCAUGUCAAUCAAAGCUUUCUUCACCU